GACGAACGCUGGCGGCGUGCUUAACACAUGCAAGUCGAACGGAAAGACCCGGCGUUUGUGGGGUGCUCGAGUGGCGAGCGGGGGAGUAACACGUGAGUAACAUGCACUUGACUGUGGGGUAACAUCAGGAGAAUGGGGAUCAUACCGGGUAGGAGCUCCUGCUGCAUGGUGUUGGUUGGAAAGAUUCGGCGGUUGGGGAUGGGUUGGCGGGUUAUCAGCUUGUUGGUGGGGUAGUGGGUUACCAAGGUUUUGAAGGGUAGCCGGCCUGAGCGGGUGACCGGCGACACAGGGACUGAGGUAAGGCACCGAUUCGGACGGGAGGGAGCAGGGGGGAAUAUUGCAGAAUGGGCGGAGGGCUGGUGCAGCAACGCCGCGGGCGGGAUGACGCCCUUCGGGGUGGAAACCGCUUUCGCAUGUGACGAAGCGUGAGUGACGGUAAUGGGUAAAGAAGCACCGGCUAACUACGUG
rnacentral:rRNA from 1 species